UCUGCAUAUUUCACACCUCUUUCCAAUUCUGUUGACCAUUUCCUUGAUUCCUGGAGGUUUGAUCUUAAACAUGUCUCAUCCCUGAGCUUGCCUCCAACAGUUCUCAACUUAUGAAAAAAAUGCUGGCAACCGAUGAAGAAACUUUGGAAAAACCAAGCGGAGAACAAGUAUCUUUGGACCUAUUCUGGAUAAACCACGCGCGCGGGCCACCCUCAUUCACACAGCAGGUUCUGAUUGGUCGCUGGGAUCUGGUCUCCGCCUCCAGACUCUGAUUGGCUGGAAGAAGCACGCCGUGGGCGAGGAACAACGCUCCUGUCCAAACCUGUGGCGGUUCUCCUGAGCCCCUCAUCCUCACCCUUCUUCGUUUCUGCUGUGUACUCGACAGUGGCUCCCCAAAAAUAGCAUUGGGAAAGGUGUGUGCGAGAAAAAUAGACGAUGUUUCCUUCCCCUGGGCAGCGCUAACACCUGGGCCGGAUCACAAAUACGUGGUCCUGCCGACUUGUAGAGCUUGCUUGCCUUUCUGUGUUGACCGGUGAUUUCAUGGCUGAGAGAAGACGUACCCUCUGCUCCUGUUCUUGACUUCAAGUUUGGGAGAAUAGCCCGAGGAGCAGGGCUCCCGGACUCCAGCGAGGCCUGCUGUCCAGACACCAAUCCCGAAUACACUUUGGUUUGGGGGAAUCCAAGAGAGAGCAGUGUGUUAGAGUGGAAAGAGACGCUUACACUUAAAGGCUCAGACUUUUAGAGCUGAAAGCAUCCCUAGUGCUGUCAAACUCAAAUAGAAAUAGGGCCGUAUAGAGACUUAGGAAACUUUGUAUUUUGCUUAUUUUUGUUAAAUAUUUUCCUAUUACACUUUAAUCCUGUUGGGGCCACACUCGAUAGUGGGCCCCAUGCGACUCCUCUGAUAAUGUACUCCCAGAUUUUACAAAUGAAGAAGCUUUGGAUCUUUUCCUCCUACAACCAGUAACAGAAACAAAACACAAACCACCAGAUCUUUGACUCCAGUGAAAUUGUGCAAAGGGCUUCAACUCUCAUGAGUAAAAGAGUAGAUGAUCUCUGAAGUUCUUUCAAAUUGUGCUAUUAUUUAUUUCAUAUUCCUAAAAGAGCUAAAUCUGUCAUGGUUGAUCAUCAUAUAAUAUACCUGUGUAAAAUGCUGUCCUGGUUUCACUUCAUUCAGCAUCAGUUCAUGUAAAUCUGUCCAAGUUUUUUCUGAAAUAUGCCUGCUCAUCAUUUAUAGAACACUAAUAUUCUAUUGCAUUCAUAUACCACAACUUGUUCACCCAUUCCCCAAAUGAUGGGCAUCCUUUCAAUUGCUUUGUCACCACAAAAAAGACUGAUACAAAUAUUUUUGUACAUGUAGGUCCUUUUCCCUUUUUUAUGAUCUCUCUGGAAUACAGACCCAGUAGUGGUAUUAUUUUUGGUGGUAUUGGGUAUGCAAUUUUAUAGCCCUUUGGGUAUAGUUCCAAAUUGCUCUCCAGAACGAUUGGAUCAUUUCACAACUCUUUCAACAGUGCUUUAGUGUCCCAGUUUUCCCACAUCCCCUCCAACAUUUAUCAUUUUCUUUGAGAGAAAAAUUCUUAAUCAUGAAAGAAAUAAGAAUGGAUGAAGGAAAUCUUUGAAAUAUCUCUUCUGAAAAUUUUUGUAAAUGGCCAGAGCUCCUCAUUUACUUUGUAUAGGUCAAAAGCAUUCCUUUUAUUAGAAUAGAAGGAAUGAGAUGAAAUGAAACUGGAUUAGCAGUCAUUUGACGAACAUAUUGGGCAUAUAUGCCUACAGAUAAACUAAAAUUGAUCUAAAAUUAUUUUACCAUAAUGAAAUUUUGUUAAAUAUCUUCAUAGAAGAUUGAACAGAACAUGUUUUCCAUUCCCUUUCCCCACUGAAUUUGCAAAUAAAAAGAAAUGCUUUUCUUUAGGAGACUGGCUAAAUAUAUAUCACACACAUUUAUUCCUGGGCCUAGUUUUCUCAUUUAAGGACUAGAGAGCCUCUGAGAUCCCUUCAGGCCCAGAAUCUAUGAUCCUUUCCUCUUCUGAUCAAUUCCCAGGCCUAGAUCUAGUAUUUCUUAGGGCAACAUUUUGGUGGAUGCUUUGAAUUUAGGUUUUGUUUUGUUUUUUUCCUUUUAAUGUCUGAGACUCUCAUAAGAGAGAUUUGCUUAGCAUCGUAUAUAUUAGGGGUUCCAAUUAGCAAACCCCUUCUUGGCAAGUAGUGAGUUUAGAGAGUGGAUUUGGUAAUUAAGAAAUCCUGAAAGGGAGUCUUCCUGGAUACUAAAGAUUGUUUAAAUUCAGCAGCCAUCUGAUUUGGCUCCUUAAGAUUUACAAUUAGCUUAAGCUAAUUAGUUUAAACUAAUUGUGAAUUUUUGUGUUUCUGAUAAAGCAUAGUUUACUUUGAAUAGACUAAAAUUAUGAUCUUCAAGGUGGAUAUAAUUGCCCGAAUCAUGUUAAUUUAUUCUAGAAGUCUUUUUAAAUUAAUUCAGCUUUUGUAAUUUAAUUUUGGGGGAUUAGUAGAUUUUUUAAAAUUUGACUUAUACAAUGACAAAUUACAAUUCUAGAAGUUUCAUGGUGAAAUAUGCUACCUACUUACUCAUAGAAUAGGGAUCAUCUCUGCAGACUGAGAUGUGUGUGUAUGUGAGAAAAAAUGGUAUAGCCAAUGUGGGAAUUUGUUUUUCUCGACUAUAAUUGUAACAGGGAUUUGUUUUCUUGUUUUCUGCAAGGAGUGGAGAUCGAGAUGGGGAGGGUAUUGCUGGGUCAGGAAGAGAAGGUGGCUCUUCAUAAAAAUAAAAUUAAAAAAAUAAA